rnacentral:rRNA from 1 species
GUGAACGCUGGCGGUAGGCCUAACGCAUGCAAGUCGAACGGCAGCACAGUAAGAGCUUGCUCUUACGGGUGGCGAGUGGCGGACGGGUGAGGAAUACAUCGGAAUCUACUUUUUCGUGGGGGAUAACGUAGGGAAACUUACGCUAAUACCGCAUACGGCCUACGGGUGAAAGCAGGGGAUCUUCGGACCUUGCGCGAUUGAAUGAGCCGAUGUCGGAUUAGCUAGUUGGCGGGGUAAAGGCCCACCAAGGCGACGAUCCGUAGCUGGUCUGAGAGGAUGAUCAGCCACACUGGAACUGAGACACGGUCCAGACUCCUACGGGAGGCAGCAGUGGGGAAUAUUGGACAAUGGGCGCAAGCCUGAUCCAGCCAUACCGCGUGGGUGAAGAAGGCCUUCGGGUUGUAAAGCCCUUUUGUUGGGAAAGAAAAGCAGCAGGUUAAUACCCCGCUGUUCUGACGGUACCCAAAGAAUAAGCACCGGCUAACUUCGU